GCCCCGGCCCCGGCCCCAGCCCCAGCUCCAGCUCCGGCUCCAGAGCCUGUUAAAAAGGCCAGUUCAAAGAAACUAUCUGAAAAAGAGACUCCCACUACUGAAACUUCUCCAAAGACUGAGACUUCAGGAACAGAAGAAGAGGGAACUGAAGGCACUUCAAAGAAAGUAAGUUCAGGAGAGGAGGAGGAGGAGGAGGAGGAAGAGGAAGACUGACCAUACUUUUGUGAAUACAGCUGUAUAUUAUCUAGAGCACUGUACAAAUUUCUAUUGUUAUUUAUACUGAAUAUUAUUAAAUACAUUCUCUGACAUGCA